UUGUUUUGGCAACAGAUACGCUAAAACUGAAACGAUACAGAGAAAAUGAGCACCGGCCCUGUGCAAGGUUAUCACACAAAUUUGUGAAACAUUCCAUAUAGUU